rnacentral:rRNA from 1 species
AAUCAACGCUGGCGGCGUGCCUCAGACAUGCAAGUCGAACGAUUAAAGCUCUCUUCGGAGAGUGUAUAGAGUGGCGCACGGGUGAGUAACACGUAAGUAAUCUACCCUCGAGUGGGGAAUAACAACCGGAAACGGUUGCUAAUACCGCAUAAUGCAGCGGCACCGCAAGGUGACAGUUGUUAAAGAUUUAUCGCUUGAGGAGGAGCUUGCGGCAGAUUAGCUAGUUGGUAGGGUAACGGCUUACCAAGGCUACGAUCUGUAACCGGUCUAAGAGGACGGUCGGUCACACUGACACUGAAUAACGGGUCAGACUCCUACGGGAGGCAGCAGUCGGGAAUUUUGGGCAAUGGGCGAAAGCCUGACCCAGCAACGCCGCGUGAAGGAUGAAGUAUUUCGGUAUGUAAACUUCGAAAGAAUAGGAAGAAUUAAUGACGGUACUAUUUAUUAAGGUCCGGCUAACUACGUGCCAGCAGCCGCGGUAAGGU